GGCCUGGUGGUCUAGUAGUAUGAUUCCUUCUUAGGGUGUGUUUGAAACACAACAUUUGGAGGAGGUCCCGGGUUCAAUUCCCGGCCAGGCCC